rnacentral:rRNA from 1 species
CAGCCGCCGCGGGAAUACGUAGGUGGUAAGCGUUGUCCGGAAUUAUUGGGCGUAAAGCGCGCGCAGGCGGAUCAGUUAGUCUGUCUUAAAAGUUCGGGGCUUAACCCCGUGAGGGGAUGGAAACUGCUGAUCUAGAGUAUCGGAGAGGAAAGUGGAAUUCCUAGUGUAGCGGUGAAAUGCGUAGAUAUUGGGAGGAACACCAGUGGCGAAGGCGGCUUUCUGAACUGCAACUGACGCUGAGGCUCGAAAGCCAGGGGAGCGAACGGGAUUAGAUACCCCCGUAGUCCCUGUCUCUUAUACC